GCCAGCAUGAUGGAAUUGGUAGACUUAGGGGAUUCAAAAUCCCCCGCCUUCGGGCGUCCCGGUUCGAAUCCGGGUGCUGGUA
rnacentral:tRNA from 1 species